CCUACGGGAGGCUGCAGUGAGGAAUCUUCCACAAUGGGCGAAAGCCUGAUGGAGCAACGCCGCGUGCAGGAUGAAGGCCCUCGGGUCGUAAACUGCUUUUAUAAGUGAAGAAUAUGACGGUAACUUAUGAAUAAGCACCGGCUAACUACGUGCCAGCAGCCGCGGUCAUACGUAGGGUGCAAGCAUUAUCCGGAGUGACUGGGCGUAAAGAGUUGCGUAGGUGGUUUGUUAAGUAGGUAGUGAAAUCUGGCGGCUCAACCGUACAGGCUAUUACCUAAACUGGCAAACUCGAGAAUGGUAGAGGUAACUGGAAUUUCUUGUGUAGGAGUGAAAUCCGUAGAUAUAAGAAGGAACACCAAUGGCGUAGGCAGGUUACUGGACCAUUUCUGACACUAAGGCACGAAAGCGUGGGGAGCGAACGGGAUUAGAUACCCCGGUAGUC
rnacentral:rRNA from 1 species